rnacentral:rRNA from 1 species
GACGAACUUUGGCGGCGUGCUUGACACAUGCAAGUCGAACGGAAAGGCCCUGCUUUUGUGGGGUGCUCGAGUGGCGAACGGGUGAGUAACACGUGAGUAACCUGCCCUUGACUUUGGGAUAACUUCAGGAAACUGGGGCUAAUACCGGAUAGGAGCUCCUGCUGCAUGGUGGGGGUUGGAAAGUUUCGGCGGUUGGGGAUGGACUCGCGGCUUAUCAGCUUGUUGGUGGGGUAGUGGCUUACCAAGGCUUUGACGGGUAGCCGGCCUGAGAGGGUGACCGGCCACAUUGGGACUGAGAUACGGCCCAGACUCCUACGGGAGGCAGCAGUGGGGAAUAUUGCACAAUGGGCGGAAGCCUGAUGCAGCAACGCCGCGCGCGGGAUGACGGCCUUCGGGUUGUAAACCGCUUUCGCCUGUGACGAAGCGUGAGUGACGGUAAUGGGUAAAGAAGCACCGGCUAACUACGUGCCAGCAGCCGCGGUGAUACGUAGGGUGCGAGCGUUGUCCGGAUUUAUUGGGCGUAAAGGGCUCGUAGGUGGUUGAUCGCGUCGGAAGUGUAAUCUUGGGGCUUAACCCUGAGCGUGCUUUCGAUACGGGUUGACUUGAGGAAGGUAGGGGAGAAUGGAAUUCCUGGUGGAGCGGUGGAAUGCUCAGAUAUCAGGAGGAACACCAGUGGCGAAGGCGGUUCUCUGGGCCUUUCCUGACGCUGAGGAGCGAAAGCGUGGGGAGCGAACAGGCUUAGAUACCCUGGUAGUCCACGCUGUAAACGGUGGGUACUAGGUGUGGGGUCCAUUCCACGGGUUCCGUGCCGUAGCUAACGCUUUAAGUACCCCGCCUGGGGAGUACGGCCGCAAGGCUAAAACUCAAAGGAAUUGACGGGGCCCCGCACAAGCGGCGGAGCAUGCGGAUUAAUUCGAUGCAACGCGUAGAACCUUACCUGGGUUUGACAUGGAUCGGGAGUGCUCAGAGAUGGGUGUGCCUCUUUUGGGGUCGGUUCACAGGUGGUGCAUGGCUGUCGUCAGCUCGUGUCGUGAGAUGUUGGGUUAAGUCCCGCAACGAGCGCAACCCUUGUUCACUGUUGCCAGCACGUUAUGGUGGGGACUCAGUGGAGACCGCCGGGGUCAACUCGGAGGAAGGUGGGGAUGACGUCAAGUCAUCAUGCCCCUUAUGUCCAGGGCUUCACGCAUGCUACAAUGGCUGGUACAGAGAGUGGCGAGCCUGUGAGGGUGAGCGAAUCUCGGAAAGCCGGUCUCAGUUCGGAUUGGGGUCUGCAACUCGACCUCAUGAAGUCGGAGUCGCUAGUAAUCGCAGAUCAGCAACGCUGCGGUGAAUACGUUCCCGGGGC